rnacentral:rRNA from 1 species
GGAGCCUGAGAAACGGCUACCACAUCCAAGGAUGGCAGCAGGCGCGCAAAUUACCCAGUCCCGACACGGGGAGGUAGCGACAAUAAAUAACAAUACGGGGUUCUUUCGGAUCUCGUAAUUGGAAUGAGUAUAAUUUAAAUCUCUUAACGAGGAACAAUUGGAGGGCAAGUCUGGUGCCAGCAGCCGCGGUAAUUCCAGCUCCAAUAGCGUAUAUAAAAGUUGUUGCAGUUAAAAAGCUCGUAGUUGAAUUUCGGGGUUAGUAGGUUGGUCAUGCCUCUGGUAUGUACUGGUCUCACUGAUUCCUCCUUCCUUAUGAACCGUAAUGCCAUUAAUUUGGUGUUGCGGGGAAUUUGGACUGUUACUUUGAAAAAAUUAGAGUGUUUAAAGCAAGCUAACGCUUGAAUACAUUAGCAUGGAAUAAUGAAAUAGGACGUUCGAUCUUAUUUUGUUGGUUUCUAGGAUUGACCUAAUGAUUAAUAGGGAUAGUUGGGGGCAUUAGUAUUCAAUUGUCAGAGGUGAAAUUCUUGGAUUUAUUGAAGACUAACUACUGCGAAAGCAUUUGCCAAGGAUGUUUUCAUUAAUCAAGAACGAAAGUUAGGGGAUCGAAGACGAUCAGAUACCGUCGUAGUCUUAACCAUAAACUAUGCCGACUAGGGAUCGGAUGAUGUUAAUUUUUUAAUGACUCAUUCGGCGCCUUACGGGA